rnacentral:snRNA from 1 species
AGCUUUGCGCAGUGGCAGUAUCGUAGCCAAUGAGGUUUAUCCGAGGCGCGAUUAUUGCUAAUUGAAAACUUUUCCAAAACACCAAUACAGUAUACUAACGCAUAUAUAUGGAAUUUAGAAAGAUGCAAAUGAUAACCCUGUAU